UAGGGAAUCUUCCGCAAUGGACGAAAGUCUGACAGAGCAACGCCGCGUGAGUGAAGAAGGAUUUCGGUUCGUAAAACUCUGUUGUUAGGGAAGAAAAAAUGUAUAGUAACUAUAUACAAAAGAGACGGUACCUAACCAGAAAGCCACGGCUAACUACGUGCCAGCAGCCGCGGUAAUACGUAGGUGGCAAGCGUUGUCCGGAAUUAUUGGGCGUAAAGCGCGCGCAGGUGGUUUAGAAAGUCUGAUGUGAAAGCCCACGGCUCAACCGUGGAGGGUCAUUGGAAACUAAUAAACUUGAGUGCAGGAGAGAAAAGUGGAAUUCCUAGUGUAGCGAUGAAAUGCGUAGAGAUUAGGAGGAACACCGGUGGCGAAAGCGGCUUUUUGGCCUGCAACUGACACUGAGGCGCGAAAGCGUGGGGAGCAAACAGG
rnacentral:rRNA from 1 species